GUUUUAUAUCUACAUUAUCUUGAGAGAUACGAACGGCCACGAUCUGCACAAACUGUCAUACCUUGCAUUCUCAUCCUCGUCAAGCUCACAGAAGAUCACAACAUAAAACGGAGCAUCACCGUUCGACUGAGAGAGCCACAGUCUGACGAGAGCCGCAAAUGGGACUACCGCAUCUAGCAGAGCUGGUGAGAGUCCAAACCGGAAUCCUCAAUGGAAUAUCAAACCUCGAUCUCACUCUCCUCUCCAAACAACGACCUCUCCGCCGCCGCCAACGACGUCAUGGGGCCACCUAAGCUCGUCUCUCAGCCAUUCUCCGAUCAAACGGUGCCACUGACUUCGUCUUCGUAAAAGCCCCCCCGAUUACUACGACUGGUCUAUCGAGUCCCGACUCGACAAUCUCGGUGCCGCCUCUAUUCAUCACCGUUGUAAAAGCAUCGCCUUGGUUAAUACACAGGCCCCAUCCAAAAUCAUUGACUGCAGUGAUCAAAAUAAUUCAAAGUAUUACAGUGUGUUGUUCUGCACACUGUUUGAUUCAAUGCUGAAGCGGUUAAAAACUAUUUGUUUGCACUCAAAGAAGGGAAGAUAUCUAAAAAACAAAAUCAAUUUGAGGCUUGCCCCUGAGGAGACACCAGCUAAGCUGAUUGGAUGUGAGCAUAAUGCAGUGACGUGUUAGCUUGAAAACAUACAUUCCGAUAAAUACUCAUCUUUUUUCUAUGAAAUCAAGAGAUGGAAACUGUUCUUUCACUAUUUAGUAAGUAUCUUGACAUUCUCUUCUGUUAAGUAUUUUAUUUCACCUCAUUCUGACUUGGAUGUUUCUUUGGUUAUAGCCGAUCUCAUAUUGCAACUUUUAGCAUUCAAUGCCUCUUCAAGCUCCGUCCUGGCUUGCAAAUAUGUUGGUAAUCUUUGGAAGGAAGAUUAAUUGCUAAGCUGUACAGCUUAAUGCAAUUCCCAGAGUUAGAGAAUUUAGGAUCAAUCUCGAUCAAGAUUUGUUGGUUUUGAUCCAAAUUCUUCACUUCAAUGCCUUUUCACUUCCUGUGGUGUAAAGCUUACCUAAGGUCUUUUUGAUGUGCACAUGUACAUGUUUUCCAGACAGUACACGCUUCAGUGUUCUGUCUUGCUUGAUGCCAGUAUGAACACUUGGACAGUUUGUCCCAAGGAUUAAUGGCUGAGGUAGAUACUUAUCCCUGUUUUGCGUAAGGGUGGUGUGGCUGUUGUUUUGUAUACACGGUAUGGAAAUUUUGGCAAAAAAGAAAUGUAAACGGUACUCUUGAUUUGUUAUUCGUAUCAUGAAUGCUAACAUGGAACUAUUUUUUCAUUAAUCAAAUCGUCAACUGCUGUGCCAGCUAUUGAGUAUUCAAGUGGUCCAUGGUUCUAAACAUCAUACUGUCAAAUUGGGAUGUAAUGUAGUGGUCCACUCUAAUGUGGCCAAGAUCAAUGAUUUUCUGCCAGUCCGACACUAAAAUAAAAUUCGGGAUGACACUUAACGUUGAGUUGCUCGCAUAGAUAAAGGCCUGAGCUAGCCGGGAAUAUUUACUGCAAACAGCUGUAGAGAUGCAUAUCUGUCUCCGUGAUUUUGCACAUAUAUUUGUACAAGGAACAUCGUAAAUUGUGACAGGGAAAGAUGAGGUCUUUCAAAAAUAUUUGAGAUUAGCAGGGGAUGAUCCUGAAAGAUUGACACACAAGCGUAUGGAUAGAUAUGCAUGAGGUGAGAGAAUUAUGCCUAUCAUUGUUGUCUUACUAAUUGGAUUGAAGAGUUUUGAUCUCAGGUAAGCAAUUGCAAGACUCAAUCCUGAUUUCUUCUUGUUGGGUGGCGGAGAGGUUUCUCUGAAGCUGGCGAUAAGGACCUUGGAAUUUAUUCAGGACAUGAAGAAGACAUUUCCAUCACGUUUUUACAGGGAUUUAUUUUUUCUUUUUAGGACAGUAAUGAUAUUUGAAGUAGAAACUUUUGCCGUGCACUUCAUUGGUUCUUGGGAUUGAAAUUCCGUUGGAAGAUCUUUAGAUCUGUAGCGAAUUCAUUAAUUUUUGUUUCUAGCUAAUGUUAUGGCAGGGGAAAGUCUACUUUUGCCAA